GGAAUUACUNGGGCGUAAGCGCGCGUAGGCGGAUUGUUAGUCAGUUGUGAAAGCCCUGGGCUCCACCUAGGAACGGCGAUUGAAACUGGCAGUCUAGAGUUUAGCAGAGGGAAGGGGAAUNGCUGGAGUAGCAGUGAAAUGCGUAGAUAUCAGAAGGAACAUCAGUGGCGAAGGCGCCUUCCUGGACUAAAACUGACGCUGAGGUGCGAAAGCGUGGGGAGCAAACGGGAUUAGAUACCCCGGNUAGUCCACGCCCUAAACGAUGUCAACUAGCUGUUGGUCUUAUUAAAAAGAUUAGUAGCGCAGCUAACGCGAUAAGUUGACCGCCUGGGGAGUACGGUCGCAAGAUUAAAACUCAAAGGAAUUGNGGGGGGCCCGCACAAGCGGUGGAGCAUGUGGUUUAAUUCGAUGCAACGCGAAGAACCUUACCAUCCCUUGACAUCCUGCGAACUUUCUAGAGAUAGAUUGGUGCCUUCGGGAGCGCAGUGACAGGUGCUGCAUGGCUGUCGUCAGCUCGUGUCGUGAGAUGUUGGGUUAGUCCCGCAACGAGCGCACCCUUAUCAUUAGUUGCUACCAUUUAGUUGAGAACUCUAAUGAGACUGCCGGU
rnacentral:rRNA from 1 species